rnacentral:rRNA from 1 species
GUCUUCGAGUCGUUGAUUUCACACUGCCGAGAAAAGCCUCUAGAUAGAAAAUAGGUGCCCGUACCGCAAACCGACACAGGUAGUCAAGAUGAGAAUUCUAAGGUGAGCGAGCGAACUCUCGUUAAGGAACUCGGCAAAAUGACCCCGUAACUUCGGGAGAAGGGGUGCUCUUUAGGGUUAACGCCCAGAAGAGCCGCAGUGAAUAGGCCCAAGCGACUGUUUAUCAAAAACACAGGUCUCUGCUAAACCGUAAGGUGAUGUAUAGGGGCUGACGCCUGCCCGGUGCUGGAAGGUUAAGAGGAGUGGUUAGCUUCUGCGAAGCUACGAAUCGAAGCCCCAGUAAACGGCGGCCGUAACUAUAACGGUCCUAAGGUAGCGAAAUUCCUUGUCGGGUAAGUUCCGACCCGCACGAAAGGCGUAACGAUUUGGGCACUGUCUCAACGAGAGACUCGGUGAAAUCAUAGUACCUGUGAAGAUGCAGGUUACCCGCGACAGGACGGAAAGACCCCGUGGAGCUUUACUGUAGCCUGAUAUUGAAAUUCGGCACAGCUUGUACAGGAUAGGUAGGAGCCUUUGAAACGUGAGCGCUAGCUUACGUGGAGGCGCUGGUGGGAUACUACCCUAGCUGUGUUGGCUUUCUAACCCGCACCACUUAUCGUGGUGGGAGACAGUGUCAGGCGGGCAGUUUGACUGGGGCGGUCGCCUCCUAAAAGGUAACGGAGGCGCUCAAAGGUUCCCUCAGAAUGGUUGGAAAUCAUUCAUAGAGUGUAAAGGCAUAAGGGAGCUUGACUGCGAGACCUACAAGUCGAGCAGGGUCGAAAGACGGACUUAGUGAUCCGGUGGUUCCGCAUGGAAGGGCCAUCGCUCAACGGAUAAAAGCUACCCCGGGGAUAACAGGCUUAUCUCCCCCAAGAGUUCACAUCGACGGGGAGGUUUGGCACCUCGAUGUCGGCUCAUCGCAUCCUGGGGCUGUAGUCGGUCCCAAGGGUUGGGCUGUUCGCCCAUUAAAGCGGUACGCGAGCUGGGUUCAGAACGUCGUGAGACAGUUCGGUCCCUAUCCGUCGUGGGCGUAGGAAAUUUGAGAGGAGCUGUCCUUAGUACGAGAGGACCGGGAUGGACAUACCUCUGGUGUACCAGUUGUCGUGCCAACGGCAUAGCUGGGUAGCUAUGUGUGGACGGGAUAAGUGCUGAAAGCAUCUAAGCAUGAAGCCCCCCUCAAGAUGAGAUUUCCCAACUUCGGUUAUAAGAUCCCUCAAAGAUGAUGAGGUUAAUAGGUUCGAGGUGGAAGCAUGGUGACAUGUGGAGCUGACGAAUACUAA